rnacentral:rRNA from 1 species
AGUGAACGCUGGCGGCGUGCUUAACACAUGCAAGUCGAACGAGAACGGAUUAUAGCUUGCUAUAAUUGUCAGCUAAGUGGCGCACGGGUGAGUAAUAUAUAGAUAACCUGCCCUCUAGAAAGGAAUAACAGUUGGAAACGACUGCUAAUGCCCUAUAUGCCUUUAAUACAUAAGUAUGCAAGGGAAACGCUUUAGUGCUAGAGGAUGGGUCUGUAUGGUAUCAGCUUGUUGGUGAGGUAAUGGCUCACCAAGGCUAUGACGCCUAACUGGUUUGAGAGGAUGAUCAGUCACACUGGAACUGAGAAACGGUCCAGACUCCUACAGGAGGCAGCAGUGGGGAAUAUUGCACAAUGGACGAAAGUCUGAUGCAGCAACGCCGCGUGGAGGAUGACACAUUUCGGUGCGUAAACUCCUUUUAUAUAGGAAGAUAAUGACGGUACUAUAUGAAUAAGCACCGGCUAACUCCGUGCCAGCAGCCGCCGCAG